rnacentral:lncRNA from 1 species
ACAAAUCACUAAGGCGUUACAAUAUAAUGAAACAGUGACUGAAUAUCCCUGUACUGAGAUAACGUGCUGGAGGAUCAGCAGGUGGCACGCGCAUGCAUCUUGGCUAAGGGAGAACUCUUUCAGGCUCCAAAUAAUACAAGGAGGCAGCAGAGAGGUGAGCGCUGAUCUGAAGAAACACAUAGACAGAGAGCAAAGCCAUGGGAAUGGGGGUCAGGGUAGUUCAUGGCAGUCAGUGCUCUGCAGUCUGUGUUUGCUGUAGGAAAGCUCAAACUACCACAUCCCACUUACCACGACCCCCCCCCCACACGAAUGCAUAUACCCCCUCCCCCACACACAUUAGCCUCACCUCUAUAAGUUUCUCCCAAUGCCUCAGGGGUGUCUGUAACACACUGGCCCUUGGGAUACACUGAUGAUCCAAACCUUAGCAAAUGAGGACAAUGAUCUUUGUCCUUUUGAAUUUCCCCCAGGUCCCCAAUGCUUCAAUAAUGCCUGACACCUAGAAGCCCCAGUCAACAAACACUGACUGAGCUGUUGAAACAGCAAAUGGAACCAAAGCAUUCGGUCUGUUCUCGUUACUAUACUUUAAGAACAACAAUUCUUUGGCCACCCAGAAUAGAGGUCAAAAUGCCCAGGUUUUGUUUGUUUGUUUGUUUUUGGGUUUUUUGUUUUUUUGUUUUUGUUUUUGGUUUUUUGGUUUUUCGAGACAGGGUUUCUCUGUAUAGCCUUGGCUGUCCUGGAACUCACUCUAUAGAUCAGGCUGGCCUCGAACUCAGAAAUCUGCCUGUCUCUGCCUACCAAGUGCUGGGAUUAAAGACGUGCACCACCACUGCCUGACUAAAAUGCCCAGUUUUAAAAAUUGAGCCUUGUUAAAUACUUUAGCCCAGCAGCACUCAGAGAACAGUGAGAUGCUCUUGUUCCUCCAGGGUUCCCAUAAUGCCUUGGAGCAAGGCAACAAUACUCAAAAGUGAAGCUGGCUAAAGAGAUGAAGAAGCGGGCCAGAGCCCACAGUGAGCACUGCUGUACCCCUGUUAAGGCAACUAUUAGAUUUGUGGUUCAAAGAAUAAAACAUGGAUUUUACAAACCAUUGUACCGACAAACUAAAAUGCCAACGAUGAACUUGGCAUAAGCAGGGAGUGAAAGGUCCAUGCAGAAUAAAUGGCCCAGCUCCGAGAGCUGGCAGUUGGUUUGAAGUAAUGGGAGAGACUGCUAGAGAGCUUCAGCAGGGACAGCAGCAUUGUCUCAGGGCUUCAGUAGAGCUGUGUUGGAUGAAAAACAAACACUAACUAUGGUGUGCUAAACUGCCUUGGACGGAGAUUCGUCUCGUGUGUAGCUCUCACGCUGUCCUCACAGAGAAAUAAAACAAUCAAAUGAAUAAUAGCAGCAGCCAAACACAAGUAAGUGAUGGAGAAAAAAGAGGAAGUCAGCUUGUUUGGUCAUCACAGAUGGAGGAGUGAAACACAGCUGUGGGAUUCGGGAAUCCUGAGAACGUGGCCAGAGACCUUCCGUCUAAGGUCAUCUCAGAAGGGAGCCUUUCGACAAUAAGAUCCUCGAAUUUAGACCAGUGAGGGGUCUCAUCAGUAGUAAGAGACCUUGCAGCAUGGAGCUGUCUUGAUGCAUGUCUGAGCUGCAUGAUGGAGCAUCCUCAGCCAUGGUAGAACCAGGUAGCUUCUAAAGCUUCAGGAAGCACUAAAGGAAUAGGCAUACUUACCCCUGAGAAAAGCCUAAACGCGGGAAACCUGGGGACCCCAUGUGUGCCCUACAGUCAGGGUGAGAGGAACAUAGACGAUACCUGGGCCAUUCUGGGGAUCGCGUGGAAAGUGGGAUAUCUUGGUAGGGACUGUGGGGGAAGGAGGCUGAACCUACAGCAAGCAUGCCAUCCACUCAGACCAGAAGCCCCUUCUCAUCCCGAUGGCUAAGAUAUGACAUAGUCCCAUCACCACCAUUAGGGUGUGGCCAACAGAGGCAUUGCAGAACUAACCUAAACAGCCAGGUUUGCCUGAAUUCUAUCAUCACGGUUUUUGUUACCAGCUGCACAGAGUUUCAAAGAAGAGAAUAAAUUAUGAUUUUUAAGUGUUGUUUGUAGCACACCAGAAUAUUUAACAUGGAAAUUCAAUGUAAGUGUGUUGACGCUUUCCUGAUUUGAAUCUGUGGACAGCAGGUGUAUCAGCUUUCACCUGGGCAUCGUGAUGAACUCAGAACCAGAGCUGGGAAGGAAGACCAGGCGUUCAAGACCAGCCUCAGCUCUGUAGUAAGUUUAAAGCCAGCCUAACUACAUGGAACACUCUUAU